AUUUAAAUAGUUUAGAGUAAAACAUCGGGUUGUGGUAUCGAAGAUAUAAGAAAGUUAUUUUAAAUC
rnacentral:tRNA from 1 species